GAUGAACGCUGGCGGCGUGCCUAAUACAUGCCAGUCGAGCGAACAGACGAGGAGCUUGCUCCUCUGACGUUAGCGGCGGACGGGUGGGUAACACGUUGAUAACCUACCUAUAAGACUGGGAUAACUUCGGGAAACCGGCGCUAAUACCGGAUAAUAUAUUGAACCGCAUGGUUCAAUCGUGAAAGACGGUUUUGCUGUCACUUAUAUAUGUAUCCGCGCCGCAUUAGCUAGUUGGUAAGGUAACGGCUUACCAAGGCGACGAUGCGUAGCCGACCUGAGAGGGUGAUCGGCCACACUGGAACUGAGACACGGUCCAGACUCCUACGGGAGGCAGCAGUAGGGAAUCUUCCGCAAUGGGCGAAAGCCUGACGGAGCAACGCCGCGUGAGUGAUGAAGGUCUUCGGAUCGUAAAACUCUGUUAUUAGGGAAGAACAAAUGUGUAAGUAACUAUGCACGUCUUGACGGUACCUAAUCAGAAAGCCACGGCUAACUACGUG
rnacentral:rRNA from 1 species